UGCAGCCUGAGGUUUUGCAUUCUUGGAUCUCUUUCUUACCUCGCACAAGAGAAUAUUUCAGUUCUCCAGCGUUUGAACAUCUAGCGUUUCUUUAAGGACAGAGCUCCAGAGUGCAGGAGCGAUCAGGCAUCACCGAUUCGGGGCAACCCUCCCACCCCCCAGCGAGUACCGUUCACCGGCCGUGGUUCCUAAAAAGAAAGGGCCCAGGGCAAAAUUUGGUUGGAAAGGGGUGGUCUGUGGGGUGUGGACGAGGGGGACACCUGUGGAUGCGCGGUGAAGCUUUCUUUUCCUUUCUUUCUUUUUCUUUUUCUGUUCUUUUUCUUUUUGAGACAGGGUCUCGCUGCGCAGUUCAGGUUGCUUUUGAACUCACUAUGUAGUCUGGGAUGAUCUGAACUUUCAAGGAUCUUCCUGCCUCAGCAUCCUGAGUGCUGGGAUUACAGGCGUGUGCCACUACGCCUGGUUUGUGCCUUGAUGCUUUCUUUGCAUGCCUCGUAAGGAUGCUGCUCAUGCAUUUAAUAGAAACAGCAACAUUUUCUGAGAUGCCUUUACUCACAUGAAACAGUAUUGGAAGUGUUUAUUUUGUGUGGUGAAGGGUGUUCUGGGUCGAACCCAGGACACACAUAUGCUGGGUAAGUACUGAACUACAUCUUUAGCCCUUUUAAUUUUUUUUUUAUUUUUUUAUUUUUUUUAUUUGAGACAGACUCUCAUUCAGCCCAGGCCCGUCUUGCAUUUCCGAUCCUCCUGCCACAGCCUCUAGAGAAGUUGGAACCACAGCUCCGUGCCACUGCGCCCAGCCUGUUUAUUUUACUUACAAGGCUGGUGCAGGCUAAGGUGGAGCAGAGCACUUCCUGGACCAGUCACGCUGUGGGUUGCAGGUGAGGACAUGGGCUGGGUUUCAGCCUCCACCGGGCCACUGCAGCAAGGAAUUGUGAAACCUGGUGGAGAAGGAAGGUGUGGCCUGACCCCAAAGGGGAGGGUGCGAGGAAGAGGCCCGGAGCGGGAAGCAGGAGUGGGAGGAGCCGCAGACUGGGAAGGGCUGGGAGGCGCGGUUCCCGCCUUCCGGGGACCCACCGCCAGCUGUUUUGGUGUCUGGGCGGAAGCUCCUGGUGUGCUUUGAAAGACGUCAUCUGUGAAACCAUCUGGGCCUGGAACUCUUCUGAGCAGUAACAAUGAGGAGUGAAGACACAGAGCCCAGAGCUAGAGAAAACGAAACCAGGUUCCUGUGACAGCAUUUAACUCCCCAUCCACCACAGCUUAAGCAGCAUCUACUCCUUGGACUGCUCAUUACUGUCCAUCCAUCCAUCCAUCCAUCCAUCCAUCCAUCCAUCAGCCGACCAUUCCAUCCAUUCUGUUGCUUGAGCCAGGUUGGAUAGGUAUUCUUUUUUCUCCCCUCCUUUUGUCAGAAACCAGAGAAUCUUUGUGAUAUGAUUAUGCAUGAUGAUUAUGCAUUACGAUUAUGACUUUAUGACUUAUGACUGAUUAUGACUUUCUCCUAAGAACAAUUCUGAUCAAAUAACAUAGACAUCUGAAUAUCAGGAAACAAAAUGAGGGCCAGCUUGGUGGGCGAUAACAUUUAGACCCCCAAAAAAUGAUUCAAAGAAGGGCUGAGGAUUUAGCUCAGCAGCAUAAGCACCUGCCUUGCAAACAGACAGUCCUGAGUUCGAUCCCUGGUACCGAUAAAAAAAAAAAAUGAUUCAAAGAAAAGGUUCUGGGCCGGGGGUUUAGCUCAGUGGCUUAAGCGCCUGCUUGGCAAGUGAAAGAUCGUGAAUUCAAUCCCCAAUACCAAAAAAAUAGAAAAGAACAGUUUCUUUCUAGUUAUAGAUGCCUUGGGUGAAAGUCUUGGGGCUGCACUUAUGCAAGAGUGAGUAUUUCUCUGGGCAGAAUUUCCUUCCAAGAGAACAGGAUUUCUUCGCAAUGUAGGCAAAAUUCUUGCUAAGGUUUGGAUGUUGGAUUACCUUAACAGCGUCCUGGGGCCAAUGGUUUUUAUCUUACAGCCACUAGCGAAGUCCUUCUGAUCUUGCUGACUUUCUCUGAAACUGACCAGUUUAACCUCACAGAGAAGAAAGGCCUGGAGGUCUCAGGGAUUCAGGGGAUCAGCUCGGCUCUCAGACAGAGCUAGCCGUCUGGGUGUCUGUUGGAUUUCAGUGGGAAGUGCUUUCAGUUUUAAAGCAGGAUUCAGAAUUCCAUGAUCUCAUAUUUUGUUAAUCCGGGUUUUCUGUUCAUUUCACCUGUGAAAGAUGACCUAGCCUUACAUUUGGUUAUCUGAUCUUUGACAAAAGGACCAAAAACAUAUGCUGCAAGAAACAUAAGCUCUUUAACAAAUGGUGUUGGGAAACCUGGUAAGAAAUGCAGGAGAUUAAAUCUAGACCAUAUCUCUUCCAUCUACUAAACCAAAAUCGAAAUGGAUCACAGAUCUAAAUGUUAAAAUAGAAGCCCUGUAUCUCCUGGAGGGUAAAACAGGCAAAACUCUUGAAGACAUAGGAAUAGAUAAGGACUUUCUACUUAUUUUUAAUUUAUUUAUUUAGACAGUCUCACUAUGUAGUGCAGGCUGAACUCACUAUGAAGCCCAAGCUCCCCUCAAACUCAGGGGCGAUCCUCCUGCCUCAGCCUGCCGAGUGCUGAGAUUAUAGGUGUAUGCCAGUAUCUCUGGCCACAUAAAGACUUUCUGAACAGUCUCAAUUGCAUAACAAAUAACAUCGUGAGUCAACACAUAGGAUUUUAGCAAAAUAAGCUUCUACAUUACAAAGGAAAUAACCUACAAAGUGAAAAGACAAUCUGAGGAAUGGGAAAAUUUUUUUUGCAGUUACAUCUCUGAUAGAGGACUAAGACUUAGAAUAUAUGAAGAGCUAGAAGAAAUUAGACUCAAUAAAAUAAAAGAAUUUUUAAAAAUG